rnacentral:rRNA from 1 species
GAGAAACGCUGGCGGCGCACAUAAGACAUGCAAGUCGAACGGAACUUAGUCGAAUGUUUACAUGAGACGAAAGUUUAGUGGCGGACGGGUGAGUAACACGUGAGCAACCUGCCUUUAAGAGGGGGGAUAACAUUGAGAAAUCAGUGCUAAUACCGCAUAAAGCAUAUUGGUCGCAUGACCGAUAUGCCAAAGGAGUAAUCCGCUUAAAGAUGGGCUCGCGGCUGAUUAGCUAGAUGGCGGGGUAACGGCCCACCAUGGCGACGAUCAGUAGCCGGUCUGAGAGGAUGAACGGCCACAUUGGGACUGAGAUACGGCCCAGACUCCUACGGGAGGCAGCAGUGGGGAAUAUUGGGCAAUGGGGGAAACCCUGAUGCAGCAACGCCGCGUGAAGGAAGAAGGCCUUCGGGUUGUAAACUUCUUUUAGCAGGGACGAAGGACGUGACGGUACCUGCAGAAAAAGCAACGGCUAACUACGUG